UGACUUUCGGGGUCAAGGGUUAAUCAGGGACGCGUGCUUGGUAUUUGCAUCCUGAUUUCCAGAAAGUCCCCUCUCAUUUCCCAGCCACCGUCACUUUCAACCGAUAUUGCCUCUGCUUUCAUCACAAUCGUCGUUGCCUCCCACUCUUCUUCAACCACCACAGCUUUCCACGGUCUCUGCUAUGUGACCGCAAGCUCUCCACUCCCUCCCACAAUAAUGAAGAUUCCGGCCAGCGAUUCGCCCUGCCCGAAUUCGUGGCCAAAGGAGGCAGCAGAAUCAAGUGUUGGAAAAUGAAUUUGGGUACGAGUUCGUAAAGGUUUGGAGAGUUGUUCUCUUGGCCAGCUCACCGUGGACCUAUUCUCUCUAUUGUCAUAACUGCUUAUGGUCUGGUUCCUUCUCCAUAUUGAUUACUUGCUCUAUGACAAUUUCGGGUGUGGGUCAUCGCGUGAACACGCACUGAUUGCCCAAUGAGAACAGAUUGUGUAAAUGAUGCUAAAAAAAGUUGGAUGCUUGUGAAUGAUGUAAAUGAGAACAGAUUGUGUAAUUUAAUUUCCUUCAUUUUUUUUUAAAAGAUUGGUACUUUCUUUCUUGGGUGGA